rnacentral:rRNA from 1 species
UACGGAGGAUCCAAGCGUUAUCCGGAAUCAUUGGGUUUAAAGGGUCCGUAGGCGGUUUAAUAAGUCAGUGGUGAAAUCUGGUCGCUCAACGAUCAAACGGCCAUUGAUACUGUUAAACUUGAAUUACUGGGAAGUAACUAGAAUAUGUAGUGUAGCGGUGAAAUGCUUAGAUAUUACAUGGAAUACCAAUUGCGAAGGCAGGUUACUACCAGUGGAUUGACGCUGAUGGACGAAAGCGUGGGGAGCGAACAGG